AUGGAGUAUGAUCAGAAAAAGUAUUUUAUACGGAUGUUUGUUGGAUUGAAGCCUCUUGGCGAUGGAUUCUUGGCUGGAUGCAGACCUUACUUGGCGAUAGACAACACUCAUUUGACAGGCAAGUAUAGAGGCCAGUUAGCUACUGCUUGUGCUAUUGAUGGGCACAAUUGGCUAUACCCUGUAGCAUAUGGAGUUAUUGAUGCGGAAACUACUGAAAGUUGGGUGUGGUUUAUGGAGAAGCUUCGUGAGUCUAUUGGCUCUCCCCCUGGCCUAGCCAUAUGUUCAGAUGCAGGUAAAGGGAUUGACACUGCAAUUGAAAAGGUGUUUGAGUAUGCAGAACAUAGGGAAUGCAUGCGACACUUGGUUGUGAACUUCAAAAAAAAGUUUCAUGGCAAAGUUUUUGAUGAUCAUUUGUGGCCAGCUGCUUAUUCAUGGACUCCUCGCGCUUUUGACUAUCACAUGGCAGCCAUAGAGCAGAAAAGGGCUGCUGCGAUUACAUACUUAAAGAAGUACCACAGCAGGCUAUGGUCAAGGAGCAAAUAUUCAUGUUCCUCAAAAGUGGAUUAUGUGACAAAUAAUUUGGCCGAGUGUUUCAACAACUGGAUCCACAAGCACAAAGGUUUAAUGUUGUUUCAGCUCAUGACAAGAUCAGGAGGAAGAUUACCAUUAAGCAUGAGAAGAGGAGAAGGGUUGCUAGGAAAUUGCAAGGUCGACGUAUACUUCCAAGUGUCAUGA
rnacentral:rRNA from 1 species